GGCGGUGACUGGCCAGGCAUCACGUACGCGCCCGCGGCGGGCGGGGCUGCAGCCUCAGCGCCCCACCUGCCGCACCCCCCCCAGGCCCCGCCCGGCUCAAGGGCGAAGGGAAGGUCACGGGCAGGGCGGGUGGCAGGCGAGGGCGCCGGACCCAACACUUAAGCAUCCCUGCACCGUGUGUGGUGAAAAUGAGGCAUCAGGGCCUUUCAACUCAUCCGGGACAGGAGGAAGAAGUAAAUAAACAAAUACCUGCUGUGGACAAGGCCAGAGAUCUGAUCUCUGCCCCGGGCCGGAGGUAAUGGAGCAACUUCUAAACACCCGUGGUCAUCUGAGUCGCCUGGCCUGGUUUUUCCCUCUCCACCAGAACCACGGAAGUCCAGUUUCUGGGAGUGCUGCCAGAAAAGGUGUAUUUUUAACAAGUUCCAACGCAUUCUGAUGACUGCAGAACCCGAGAGCACCUGUUCUAACGGGUUGAGCCUGAGCGAGUGAUGCUGAGAAGAUACUGGGCAUCUUAAAGGUGUCCCCGGGGUGCCCUUCACUCUUCCGGUGCAGGAGGGCGGAGCCAGGCUGUGCAGCUCCACCCAGAGGUGUCCCCGGCCCAGGAUUUGUGCUGUAGAAUCAUCCAUCCCUUUGUAGGGCAUUCUACACUUUCCAAAGUUGGUACACACUGAAUUUUAUUUUAGCCAAAAGGCCUUUAUCUUCUUAUAAAAUUGAUAUUUUUGUAAUUUAGAGGAUUGGCCAUUUGUCAUCGAGUUGUCUGUCAUAUAGGAAACAAUAGAUACAAACUAAGAGUCCAAACAAUGGGUUAAGUAAAUUUUGAUACAAAUAUAUAAGUAGUUUUCUAUUGCUGGUAUGGUUAUGAAGAUAAAUAUCCAUUUACAUGGAAGUAUAUUCAGGAUAUAUUGAUAAAUGAAGAAGCAGUGUCAGAAAUACCAUGAACCUCUGUGUGUGUGUGUGUGUGUGUGUGUUGUGUGUGUGUGUAUGUACACGCGCGCACAUGCACGAGCGUAAAUUUAGAUGUAAAUAAAUUUAGAUAUUUUAAUUUCCUUUCUUCUUAUUAUUAUAGGUAUUGUCUUUUUCUCCAAUGAACAAGUAUUGUUUUUGGAAUAAAAUAUUAUACUUCAUUAAAAACAAUAAAAUUUAGAGUUGUCAGACCGCCAAGGUUAUGUCUGUUUUGCAAAAGCUGAGGUCUCUUUAGGCAGCAUUGUGGUUCAGACAGGUAAUUCCUUAUUCUUUCCAGUUAGGCCCAUGAGCUCUGACCCAUCGCUCAGUCUAUCAGGGUGUAAAAUACAGACGGCUGCAGCAACUACGGAAAGACAUGGCCAUCUCUCCCUUCUUUUUCUUUUGCAGUACAUGCAUUUUAGUAGUUCUUCAGCUGGUGGUGGGGUUGUUUGUUUGUUUGUUUUAACUUUGGCCUUAGAAGAGGCUUCUCUGAUACAAGAGGGAGAAUUGCAGGGCAUGUGGAGGGUACAGCUUACCUCCAGCAGGACAUGCCACGUGCCUUAGUUCUCCAUUGCCGCCUAAAAAAUUACCCCAAGCUUUUGUGGCUUAUAUGAGCACCCAUUUACAUCACAGGAAUAUCAUCCCAGGGCUUUGCUGGACUCUCUGCUCCUUGUCUCAGAAGCUGCAACAAGGUAUCGGCCGGGGUCCGAAGUCUCAUCUGAUCCCUCAUCUUGGCAGUUUCCUUCCGUCCCAAGCCCUGAGCUGACUUUGAGCUAAUCUACAACCACAGCUCCAUAACCAUCUUCCCUUUUCCUGGUGCCUCAUCUUCCCUGGCCUUCUUCCCUAGACUUUACAAAGCCCAAGAACAAAUGCAACCACUUGCUAAACAAGGAAACGCUGCCUUCAACUCCCCCCGUCCGCCAGUUGUCUUUCAGUGUCUUUGUCCAAACUGAGAAAUAAUUCUGCUAUAUAUCUAGCAGCUACACUUUAAAUUAUAUAUAAAAGAGUUGGAUGCCCUCCAAGACCUUGACGCAGAAUCAUGUCGUCCUGAACCAAUGAAAGUCAAUAUUUAAACACUUUCCAAAGAAAAUGGAAAGAAAGCCCGUCUCAUUAUUUCUGCAAAGUACGUGGCCAUUAAAAGUUUUAACCCCUCCAGGAAAUGUCAUUGAUGAUGUGAACUGGACCCUCUCACAGCACAACUAUUUCCUUCUCCUGUGUUGGUGAAAGUUGAUUAAUGGAGACUUCCUCAAAAUUCCAACACUUCUCUCGUAACAGGAGAGCACAGGUGCUGAUAAGGCAGAAGAAACUGACCUGUUCUUUCAGAGGAACUUCCGUAAUUGCGGUUAUUUCAGAAAACAGAGGAUAGGAGAGAUGGCUGUCUGUUGAAAAAUGAGUUAUACAGGAAUUUCCCAGUUAGGAAAGGAAAUUAUGAUGAUUUUAGCAGUGUGCCACGUGAUGGUUAAUUUUACGUGUCAUCUUGGCUGGAUCACGGGUGCCCACAUAGCUGGCAAAACAUUGUCUCUGGAGGGGAUGGUGAGGAUGUUUCCAAUGAGAUUAACAUUUGAAUCAGUGAACUGAGUGAAGCAGAUGCCCUCCCUGAUGUGGAGGUGUGAGGCCCAGCCAACCCCCUGAGGGCCUGAGGAAGGGUGAAUUUGUCCUCCUUCUCUCUCCCCAUGUGUGUAUAUGUAUAUAUAUAUAUAUAUGUAUAUAUAUAUAUAUAUACAUAUAUAUAUAUAUAUAUAUCAAACUGGUUCUGCUUCUUUGGAGGAGCCUGACUAGUACAUACACUCUGGUUAAAUAUGUUCAUUCUAUGUUUUAGUUGUGAGAUGCUAAAUCUGAAUACCAAUUUGCAUAUGGUCUAUACAGAGUCCUGUGUCCCUGAUGGCAUUUACACGUUUGAAUUUGUAGUGACAAGUUCUCAAAGCUCCCUUACUUCUGUAUCAGAAUCGAAGCGCUUCAUGGCCAGCAUUCAAGGGCAAACAUGCUGAAAUAUCCGAAACCAAAGCUAUAAACAAUAGCGCUUUUUCAGUUCGCAGACGGGCACACGUGGACCAUGCGUGUGUGAUUGGCAAUGCCAGCAUGUAGCAGAAGUUUUGAACGUUUUUGGGUGUAAAACUUCUAAGAUUCCCAUGUAAGCCACAGAUGUCUUCCUCUACCCGAAUGUGCAUAUAUACACACACACAAGCCCCGGCGUGUUGCAUACAGUGUAGGGAACUCAUGAGUCUGGUGACUGACCAGGCCACAGCCGAGGACAGAGGAUGGAGCUUGGUCACAGGUCCAAGCGGCGGAAAGCUGAGUCCUCCCAAGCGGCCUCCCUCUGGCUGCUCACCGUUCACCAUUGGGACCUUGUCUUAUCUCAGAGCCCAAGCCGAGCUCAGGCCAGAUGGGGACCGGGGGCCCGUUCCCGGGGAAGCACUGGGGUCUUAGUCCUGAGUCUGGGGGAAACACCCCUCCCCUCCCCUGUGAUGCUGUUUGGAAAGCAUCGCUUUAAGAGCUCCAGCUGUCUCUCCACUGAUGACGUGGUCCUUUGAUCCUCUUUAGGAGCAGACUAUUCUUUCGUCUAUAAAACCUUUUCACCAGCAUAGGCCAUUCACUUAGAGCCAUAUUUCAGCAAUCAUGAGGCAUUUCUGCAGCAGUCGGGGCUGAUCUUUUUGUCAUGUGAGGUGAUCUGAGUCCCUUCUGCCCUGGAGUCCAUGGCCCUGCCCCUCCCUCAUCCCCCAGGGCCCUGAGGGCAGCCGGUCACUGGAACUGCUCUCCAGGUCACUUAGGGGGCUCUCUCCUUUCCUCUGUCCAGGUCACCGAGGGCCAUAGGAUGAAGGCCCUCCAGGCACUCCCACCUCAGACUUUAGUGCCAGAGCCCAUGAGAAGGACCGUUUCUGGGGUCACUGGAUCAUCAGGUGGAGAGAGUUUGCACAGCGAAGACAGAGAGAUGAGAGAUGGGGGGAGAGAGACAGAGACAGACAGACAGAGACAGAGAGACACAGAGACAGACAGACAGAGCCAGAGAGAGAAAGCGAAAUCACAACAUUCCUUAAGUUUGCUCCUCACUCAAGCUACCGUCCUGCUUCUGUGCUACGAUAACCACCAAAAAUGUUUAAAAUUGCCACUCCCCCCCUUCCACAUCUUUCCCACUCCCUCAGACUCCCUGAAGUCCUCUUUCCUCUACUACAGCUUCUCUGAAACUUCUGAAUGUCACCAACUGUCUGUCCAAACAACCAGUCAAUAAAACAGCUUUUGAAACCAA